GACGAACGCUGGCGGCGUGCUUAACACAUGCAAGUCGAACGGAAAGGCCCUGCUUGCAGGGUCCUCGAGUGGCGAACGGGUGAGUAACACGUGGGUGAUCUGCCCUGCACUUCGGGAUAAGCCUGGGAAACUGGGUCUAAUACCGGAUAGGAGCCAUUUUUAGUGUGAUGGUUGGAAAGUUUUUUCGGUGUAGGAUGAGCUCGCGGCCUAUCAGCUUGUUGGUGGGGUAAUGGCCUACCAAGGCGGCGACGGGUAGCCGGCCUGAGAGGGUGGACGGCCACAUUGGGACUGAGAUACGGCCCAGACUCCUACGGGAGGCAGCAGUGGGGAAUAUUGCACAAUGGGCGCAAGCCUGAUGCAGCGACGCCGCGGGGGGGAUGACGGCCUUCGGGUUGGAAACUCCUUUCGCUAGGGACGAAGCUUUUUGUGACGGUACCUAGAUAAGAAGCACCGGCUAACUACGUG
rnacentral:rRNA from 1 species